rnacentral:lncRNA from 1 species
AAACUCAAGAACAGAUAUUUUUCUGGUGUAGUUCGCUAAGCGACCAGGAGAUUCGCUACGCGAACCUGCUCGCCACAAGCUCGCUACCUGUUCGCCAUGCACCUGUAAUCCUCUGACGUAGUUCGCUGCAGCGAACUGAGCUUCGCUUAGCGAAUAGUUCGCUACCUGUUCGCUACUGCUUCGCUUAGCGAACAGUACUGAACCUG